UACAGAGACCCCAAGCGUUAUCCGGAAUUAUUGGGCGUAAAGGGUGAGUAGGUUGUUUUAUUAGUCAGAUGUUAAAGAUCUGGGGCUUAACCUCGGAUGUGCAUUUGAAACGGUAAAACUAGAAUAUGUAAGAGGUGAGUGGAACUCUAUGUGUAGGGGUAAAAUCCGUUGAUAUAUAGGGGAACACCAAAAGCGAAGGCAGCUCACUGGUGCAUUAUUGACACUGAAUCACGAAAGCGUGGGUAGCGAUACGG
rnacentral:rRNA from 1 species